UACGUAGGGUGCGAGCGUUAAUCGGAAUUACUGGGCGUAAAGUGUGCGCAGGUGGCUGAGCAAGUCGAGUGUGAAAGCCCCGGGCUUAACCUGGGAAUUGCGCUCGAAACUACUUGGCUGGAGUGUGGCAGAGGGAGGUGGAAUUCCACGUGUAGCGGUGAAAUGCGUAGAGAUCGGAAGGAACACCCAAGGCGAAAGCACUCUGCUGGGCCGACACUGACACUGAGGGACGAAAGCUAGGGGAGCGAAUGGG
rnacentral:rRNA from 1 species